rnacentral:tRNA from 1 species
GCCGAAGUGGAGGAAUUGGCAGACUCGCAGUCUUCAGAAGGCUGUUCUCGUAAGAGAGUGUGGGUUCAAGUCCCACCUUCGGCACCA